rnacentral:rRNA from 1 species
UACGAAGGGGGGCUAGCGUUGCUCGGAAUUACUGGGCGUAAAGGGCGCGUAGGCGGCGCUGUUAGUCAGGCGUGAAAGCCCUGGGCUCAACCUGGGGACUGCGCUUGAUACGGCAAGUGCUAGAGGAUGGAAGAGGGUCGCGGAAUUCCCAGUGUAGAGGUGAAAUUCGUAGAUAUUGGGAAGAACACCGGUGGCGAAGGCGGCGACCUGGUCCAUUACUGACGCUGAGGCGCGACAGCGUGGGGAGCAACAGG